CCUGUGAAUGGUGUUAGGCAGCGUGAUGGCAGAAGUGAGAAGAACAAGUUAUGUGAGUUGGAGAAUGUUAGGCAGAGGGGGAGCAAGGCUAGAACACCUGGGAGCAUUAUCGACUUUAUCAGCCACCAUGCAGCACACAGUGCCCGGAUUCGCCCGUCUCAACUUCCAGUAUUGAAUAUAAAGAAGCAUUAUUUCUUUUUCUUUUCUUACACUUCGUUUUUAAUUCCCUUUAUACUGAAACAAAGCGAAGAUGUUGCGGAUGAAUAAACCCUGAUCCAGACCUGA